UUUCUUUGGCAGGACAUGCACUUAAAUUGGAUGAAAAAGGGAGGAUAAGCAUGACCCCUGUACAUAGAUGACACGCACAUUCGUGAGACGUUCGUUCCAUAU